UGGAACUAACAGAUUUAUUGCCUUUGAAAGUAUUUUAUGAUUUGCAAUUAUAAGGGUUUUUUUUAUCAGACUUGAUGGCGAAGCUGGAUUUAUGUGGCCUUGGUUGGUCGUAUGUGCAGCUUCUAUUUUCUUUAUUUGGCACCUGAAUAUGUUUACGGUCUGGGUGAAUGUGUAACUAUUAGGCUUAUAGCUACCUAGUUCUGAAAUUCAAAAAAUUAAUCAGGAAAUUCAUAAUCUAUGUUUACCUUAACAAUGAAAAGGAGGAUUGCUAUGUUUUUCUUUAUUUCAUCAUCUUUCUUAUUCUUUAAUUAAAUUUUGGCUUCCUUUUUAUAAUGAUUGAGCUACUGAUAGAAUAUAAAUGCCUUCAAUGACACACCAUUCCAUUGUGUAAAAAGAGUGAUGACAUUUAGUUAAUUAUUCAUUUUUAGAUGUGAUACCAGCUUGCAGAAAGUUGUGGAAAACAAAGGUAGUAGGGGAAGUCAAAUAUCAUAUUGGGUGGAACCCUAGUCCGAAACUUGGAAGAGAACUAUCAGCAGAAUAUAAAAGAAAAAUGGAAAGGUAGUGCAAAAGGAGAACGGAUGAAGAUACCUCAUGCGACCGGAAAACAGAACUGUGUUGUGAUUGGCUAAACCUGCAAGAAAGAGAACGUGAAGUGGUGGGUGCCCACGGCAGCCACUCCGAUGCUCAAGUCAGCAAACUCAUGAAUAGAGUGAAUGUAAUGAAUUGUUUAGAACUUAAAUGUAGUUGCGUAAGAAUUGCGUAUUUUUGCCUCUGUUAUCAUUCUUUUCUUUAUAUUGUAAGAGGAUGGAGAUGAAUAUAGCAUCUCAUGAUGAUUUAGCAAUGAUGUGGCUGGCUAAUCUGAUAAGGGAUUCUGUCAAGUUAACUGGUUGUUGAUUCGUGAUUACAGGCAUAACGGGGGCAAGCUGGAUUGUGUCUGCUAAUGGUAACUUUAUGUCGAGACUCGUCCUAUCCAGGAAAGGGCGAGUCUUGGUGAUAAACCGGGUAUUAAGGUGCCUGAGUCUUCCUUUUUUUGGAUGGGAGCGCGUUUUCAGAUUUUUGCCACGUGGUCCUGUUUUGUGGUGCCAACUCAUGGCUCACUUUGGGUGAUUGUUAUGUAACAUUAGAGGUCUCUUCGCUGGUCUUCGAUUCUUCAAAUUCGAAGGUGAUAGUUGUUCUCACGAUUUAGGGCACGUGGCUUAUGGAUAUUAGUUUUUUCCUAGCUCACGCCGCUUUGCCUGUCUAGCUUUUUAAUGACGGCUGCUCCAUUUCUCGAGCCCUAUUUAAAGCCUGCCGUUAAAACCGUCUUGAAUACUUCCUCUUUUUCUCUUACUCCUAAUAGAGGUUUCGCCUCCAGCUCCUCCUCUGACGGCCCCAUCCGUGCCCCGACUCCUAUUGUUCUACUGAGGGCGGCUCAAGAGAGCGAAAUUAGCCUGAAUAGCGAAAUUCCUCUAUCCUAUCAGAGUAAGAUGUGGGUCGCCUCCAUGAUAAAUAUCAGAUUCUUUGAGAGACUUUUCAUAUCUUUGCCCCUUUUUCAAGUUCGUGUGAAUGACCUGAUUCCUACGAAAGAUACUGUUAUAGUCUUUGAAGAGUAGCUAAAUGCGGGUCUUCGGUUCUCUAUGGAUCCGUUUUUUGUUGAUGUCCUUCGGUUUUAUAAGCUUUCGGUCGCCCAGUUGCAUUCCAAUAGCUGGAGAAUUAUGUGGCAUCUUUAUAACAACAUUGAACCAAGCGUAGCCUUUUUCUCUUAGCUGUACUAGCUGGGUAUCCGCAAAAAUGAAGAGUUUUGGUUUUUUAGCAGGCAAAAAUGUCAAACGAUGUUCGAUCGGAUAUCUUCUUCAUUAGAGCGAUGGAAAAACAAGUUUUUUGUCCAUCAUCACAGGAUGUCUAGGGGGUUUUGGGCGCCUUCAAAUGAGCUGAAAUCUAUGGGUGGAACUGAGAAAGGAUAAGUCUAAUCGAGGAGGGAUGAGGAUGAGGCUUUAGAAUUUCUCUUGACGAUAGCCAAGUCUCCAAAGAAAAUGGACAUCAUUUAGGCAGUAAGGAACACCAUUUUAUCUUGGCAAAGUCAUCUCCAGGCAAGUCAGACUUAGGAUUCUUGCCCGCCCAGCCUUUCCAGCCUCAGGAAGAGCACUUCUCUGGCCAGAGAUCAGGGUAUCUUUCUACCUUCUUUUAGAUUUUAACUUGUCUAACUUACUUUUCAAUAUACGUAGAUGUGGCUGGGUCAAGAAGCAAAUUUGCUGAAGCGACACGUGUUGUCCACAAAGGCAAGAUUGCCGCUGGGGUAAUCUCUUCUUCCCCAACCUAUAGUAGAAGAGUCGGUCCACUUACAGCCUGAGUCUUCUGCCAUGGGCGCCUUUGGAUCUACCCCCAUUUUUGAGCUUUCUGCUGUUAUCCCCGCUCCUACUGAGCUUGUUCCUGCCAACGUGGAGAUUGACUCCUCAUGGCCUCCCAGCAUCUAGCGCUUAGCAUUGGUCCUAAUCCGGACGCUUUCUCUCUUUGAUGAUUCUAACGUGGCCGUCCUCUUGACCAAGAAUGUCUUGAGGCUCGGGGAUUGCCGUCGUCUGAAUGAGCUCGAGACGGAUGAGUUUUUUGAUAAUGUUAUGCAUUCUGUCUUAGAGAGUGCCUUAUGUGUCUACGUGGCUAAGGAGUGUAAUAAAGUCCUGAGACAGGAGUGUGGUGCUUAGGAAACAGACAGGAGGUUCUUGGCAGAGGAAUGCUCGAGGUUGUAAGCUCGUAUUGACGAGGUAGAAGGUGCCAUGAAGGAGACUCUGGAGUCCGUGGACAAGUUUCAGACUGAGCUAAGUAAGGCCAAUGCUUCCAAGCUGGUCCUUGAGAAUCGGGCGAAGAUUGCCGAGAAUCAAAUGGCCCUGUUGCAUCGCUAAGUCCUGGAACUACAGGCUCAAGUUGAGAGGUCAGGGCCGCCUCUAUCAGGGUUGCUGAGCUUGAGAUAGAAUUUCAACAUAUGAUUGCCUAGGGUGGGGAGAUGUUCGUACAAGACCAAGACUCCGUCAAGAAGGAGCUUUUCAGGCAUUUUCCUGCAAAGGACUUUUUUUGGGUCGAUGACAUUUCGCUGAGGAUGAGGAUGGGCAGGACAAAGAAGUGCUAAUUGAAGACAAUCCUAUUGAUCCCACAUCGAUUUGGAAAAGAGAUAAUGUGCCCCUUGUAUGAGCAUAGGCACUCCUCCCAUUUGAGCUAACUUUUGGAGUGAAUUAGGCCUAACCUAAAUUUAACAUGGUAUGAGAGCAUCCCACUGAUGUUGGACCUCUCAAUAUGUCACGCUCUAGUGUGGUUCUGGGCGUGAGGGGUGUAUUGAAUCCUACAUCGGUUUGGAAAAGAGAUAAUGUACCCCUUAUAUGGGCAUAUGCACUCCCUUCCUUGAGUUAGCUUUUGGAGUAAGUUAGACGUAGCCUAAAUUUAACAUGGUAUUAGAGCGCCCCAUUGAUGUUGGACCUCCCAAUGUGUCACACUCUAGUGUGGUCCUGGGCGUGAGGGUGUGCGUUGAAUCCUGUAUCGGUUUGAAAAAGGGAUAAUAUGCCCUUUAUAUGGGUAUAGGUACUCUUUCCCCUUGAGCUAGCUUUUGGGGUAAGUUAGGUCUGGUCCAAAUUUAACAAACUCUCCUAACCCAGCUUCUGAUGUCAUAGCCAAUGAUGAAUCUGUAACAGAAGCUCGUGAGGAGGCGAAUGAUGAUGUCCCUCCUGCCCUGUAAUAAGUCUUUUAUUUGAAUGAAAAAUAUUUUAUUUUCAUGGUUUGAUAUGAUCAAUAACCAACCAUAAAUCUUAUCUACUCAAAACUUAAAUAAUUUUUUUUAAAAGAUUGUGAAGGGAUUAACACUCGAUCACUAUAAUGGUGACAAAUAAAUUGAAAACUUUUGAAUAGCAGGGCUAAUACCUGGACAUAUGGCCUGGCGAAUAUCUGCCUUGGAGCUGAGAUACCUUAUAGGAUUUCUUAUAAUUUUGAAGCUAGUACUCUUUUGUGAAUACCCAUCUUGUAGCUUGGGCCUCAAAUGCAUCGAAAAUCUUAUAUGGGGCUAUCACCUAGUAGUUGAGUAUGGCGAAAUUUGCCUCUUGGCCUGGCACAAAUGCCUUGAUUAGUGGGAUCAACGCCCGAUCUUUUGGCCUAUCUUAUACUCGCCCUGUGGCCUUGGACAUCAAAUGUCUUAGAACUUUUUAUGGGGAUUAAUACUUGGUAGUUGAGCCCGACGGGACCUGCCUUGUGGCUCCACAUGAAUGCCUUGAUUAGUGGAACUAACGCGCGGAACCCACCUUGUUUAGUGAAACCAAUGCUUGGAUUGUGGUAUGGCAGAACCUACUUUGUGAUCUGACCUGGCAAAACCCGUAUUGUGGCCUUGUUUAGUGGGGCCAAUUUUUGGAGUGUGGUCUAGCAAAACCCACUUUGUGAUUUUGUCUGGUGAAAUCCGCCUUAUGGCCUUGUUUAGCGGGACCAAUGUUCGAAUUGUAGUCUAGCAGAACUGCCUUGUGAUUUGGCAUGGUGAAAUCCGUCUUGUGGCUUUGUUUAGAGGACCAACGCUCGAAUUGUGGUUUGGUGGAACCUGCCUUGUGACCUGGACUAGCGGAACCCGCUUUGGCCCUGUGCCUGACAACGAAACCUAAUGAUGCAGCCAUUUUGAGAGAGAGAAGAGAGAGAUUUCUUUCUAUGAGAAAAAGAGUAGGAGACCAGUCGUAACCUAAAUAAACGGAGAUGAUUCAAUGGAUUUUCCGACAAUGGAACCAAUUGAUGCGGCCGGAAAACAGAGUUGUGCUAUGAUUAGCUAAACCUGCAAGAAAGAGAACGUGAGAUGGUGGGUGCCACGAUAGUCACUCCAAUGAUCAAGUCAACAAACUAACAAACU